rnacentral:miRNA from 1 species
AUGACUGACAUGGACU